rnacentral:rRNA from 1 species
GACGAACGCUGGCGGCAUGCCUAAUACAUGCAAGUCGAGCGAACAGAUGAAGUGCUUGCACUUCUGACGUUAGCGGCGAACGGGUGAGUAACACGUAAGGAAUCUACCUAUAAGCGGGGGAUAACAUUCGGAAACGGGUGCUAAUACCGCAUAAUAUCUUCUUCCGCAUGGAAGAAGAUUGAAAGACGGCUCUGCUGUCACUUAUAGAUGACCUUGCGGUGCAUUAGUUAGUUGGUGGGGUAAUGGCCUACCAAGACGAUGAUGCAUAGCCGACCUGAGAGGGUGCUCGGGCACAUUGGGACUGAGACACGGCCCAAACUCCUACGGGAGGCAGCAGUAGGGAAUCUUCCGCAAUGGGCGAAAGCCGGACGGAGAAAUGCCGCGUGAGUGAAGAAGGCCUUCGGGUCGUAAAACUCUGUUAUAAGAGAAGAACAAAUUGUAGAGUAACUGCUACAGUCUUGACGGUAUCUUAUCAGAAAGCCACGGCUAACUACGUGCCAGCCGCCGCAGUAA